rnacentral:rRNA from 1 species
GACGAACGCUGGCGGCGGGCUUAACACAUGCAAGUCGAACGGAAAGGCCCUGCUUUUGUGGGGUGCUCGAGUGGCGAACGGGUGAGGAACACGUGAGUAACCUGCCCUUGACUUUGGGAUAACUUCAGGAAACUGGGGCUAAUACCGGAUAGGAGCUCCUGCUGCAGGGUGGGGGUUGGAAAGUUUCGGCGGGUGGGGAUGGACUCGCGGCUUAUCAGCUUGUUGGUGGGGUAGUGGCUUACCAAGGCUUUGACGGGUAGCCGGCCUGAGAGGGUGACCGGCCACAUUGGGACUGAGAGACGGCCCAGACUCCUACGGGAGGCAGCAGUGGGGAAUAUUGCACAAUGGGCGGAAGCCUGAUGCAGCAACGCCGCGUGCGGGAUGACGGCCUUCGGGUUGUAAACCGCUUUCGCCUGUGACGAAGCGUGAGUGACGGUAAUGGGUAAAGAAGCACCGGCUAACUACGUG